AUCAGUCUCAUUUCUUAGGCCAGACGACAUACAUGUCCUGAGCAGGAAACAAUAAUAUACAAGUUGCGGCCACUUGCAUACAAGUAUAUAUAUAACCCUCAUGCACAAUCGGUUUACAAUAAUGCAUCUUUAUUGUGAAAUUAGCCCAACACUUCAUACAACAAGAUCACACCAAUCACUUUGAGUUCUGGAUUUGAAUGGCUGCUCUGCCUAGUGACUAUGACUCCAGUGAAUCUGACACGAAAAGAAGACAACAAAUCAGACAACUGACAAGAAUUCUUCACUAAAAAAUAUACAUGUGCUUCAUAAUAAAGAUAGUCAAGAGACCGUAAUCAGUGAUUCGCAAAAAAUAGACAGUAAUCAGUGUGUCCUGCAUUCACGAACAGAGAAGCAAACACACGUGUGUAAUUGCUCUAAUUGAUAGUGAGGGCUAAAUAUCUUUAAAGCACAAGUUCUUGCCAGUUCACCACUUUGAUUUGUUCUGAUACGAUUCGGAGUAAUGAUUCAGACUCUAAGUUGCAGCCAUACCAGUUAAGUUGAUUUAUUUCAAAAUCAUGAAAAAUUACAGAUGAGUGACCAUAAAACGCUUGACUGGAUAAGUCAUGCUUGACUGGAUUUUAACUUAUAUUCCUUCUCUAUUAAAUUAACCAUAAAACGCUCCUCCAUAAUACUCCUUCCGUCCCAUAAUAUAAGAGCGUUAUUGACACUACACUAGUGUCAAAAACAAUCUUUUAUUACGGGACGGAGGGAGUAGUUAGUUAUUGUCAUCUUGUUGGAGCCAAGACAACACAGAAUCUAUCAAGGAAAAGCAAUCACAUCCAAGGAAGAACCGAAGAAGAAGAAGCCAUGAAACUUUGUUUGUUUGCUAGGUUCAUCUGUGUGCCUACAUCCGCAGGAGCCGAAAUUCAGGGGCUCUGCCCAGAUAUAUUUCUUAUAUAAACCUGAGUAUAGUAAAUUCAGGGGCUCUGCCGAAAUUCAUGGUUGUUCGAGUUACAUCACACAAUCGCAUACGUAAAAGGAUAUAAACCCGUGUAUAGUACAUUUACACAAUUACUGCUUCCGAGAUUAGGCAAUCCCUUUAUCUUUGCAUAUAUUUUUCACAAACAAAAGAUUUGGUGAUUUCUACAAUUCCACUUGGUCUCUGAAUGGUGGUUGGAUAGUACUCAAUGAUCUAUGGUGUGGAAGACACUUUCUUUACUUGUCUGAAUAAUUAAGAUGGCAAGCAAACACUAUCGCUCCUGAUUUAAGUUAGGUUUCCCAGGAGCUCAGGAGAAAUAUACACAACCCUUUAAAACAAGACAUGCCUUCUACGGAGUACAAUAAUGAACUAUCAAGCACCAAACAAUUUAUGUGAUAACUAUGCAGGUAGGAAGAUAACUAGAAUGCAACAGAGUGCUUGCCACUUCAUAUUGUCUGGGACGACAACGAUGGUGGGAAGUUGGUAUAUAUGUGUGCGCGUAGGAUGUGAUGCUUCAACCUGCAGAUGCUCUCAAGCUGCAAUGUCUUGACGUCCAAUGAGAAACAUUCCGUGCCUGACAUCUCUAGCGAUGAUGAACUUGCGGAGUCAUCUUCAGAUCUUACUAGUAGCAAAUACCUCUCUGUUGCACCUCUCAGGUAAUACCGGUACCCG
rnacentral:lncRNA from 1 species